UACAGGGGGGGCAAGCGUUGUUCGGAAUUACUGGGCGUAAAGGGCUCGUAGGCGGCCAACUAAGUCCGACGUGAAAUCCCCAAGCUUAACUUGGGAACUGCGUCGGAUACUGGAUGGCUUGAAUUCGGGAGAGGGAUGCAGAAUUCCAGGUGUAGCGGUGAAAUGCGUAGAUAUCUGGAGGAACACCGGUGGCGAAGGCGGCAUCCUGGACCGGUAUUGACGCUGAGGCGCGAAAGCCAGGGGAGCAAACGGG
rnacentral:rRNA from 1 species